GACAGGAGGUGCAAACGUUGUUCGGAUUUACUGGGCGUAAAGCGCGUGUAGGCGGCUUUACAAGUCGGAUGUGAAAGCCCACGGCCUCAACCCGUGGAAGUGCAUCCGAAACUGUAUCGCUGGAGUCCCGGAGAGGAAGGUGGAAUGCUUGGUGUAGAGGUGAAAUUCGUAGAUAUCAAGCAGAACACCUGCGGCGAAGGCGGCCUUCUCGGACGGUGAC
rnacentral:rRNA from 1 species